rnacentral:tRNA from 1 species
GCCUUCAUAGUGUAGUGGUCAGCACGCUCGACGCGUAUUCGAGAGGUCCGUGGUUCGAUUCCCGGCGAGGGCA